UAAAAGUUAAAUUUCAUUUAUUUUGCGACGAGUAACAAAGAAGUUCUACAAUUACUAAUGAUUUCAUUGUUUUUGACGGCUUGCAUAUUUGCUCGUAUAUAAUGUAGUAUGCUGAAGGAAACUGAAGAACGCGGAAACCACGUGUCCGAGUGGUCAAUUACUCCCACAUGCAACCACUGUGGAUCCUGAGCCGGUAGAAGCAAGUGAUUUUAUCAAUACGCUUCCAGUAUAAAUAAGAUGACUGUAUUCUUAGACCUAACAGAAUAUUUGUAUAUUUGUUUUUCCCCCUUUGUUAUUCAUCUUAUACAUGAUACUAGAUAAAAAGUUUGUAACUUAAUUCCAACAUUAUGUGUAAAAAUCAUAUGGGGAUCCCUUUGGACCUGCAAUAAUGAAUGAAAUUAUCCUUGUAUUUGAUACUUUCGGGGCAGUUUCAGUGGACGAUAAAUUCAUGGUUUAGAUUUUUUGUUUAAUGUAAAUUUGCUAACCUGAGAGUUCAAAGGUGUAAUCAUAUUAGCGACCUUUAUAUAUUUUAAGAUUCUAUGCGUACAUUUUGUGCGAGUAUGAAUUAAUUAUACCGUGAUAAUAAUGAUCCCAAAAUUUAGUAUAAGGUGUGUAUUUUGCAUUUUUUUUUUUUUUUUUGCUCUCUUAUCUAAUUUUCUUUCCCGAAUCUUUAGAUGUUUUGAUGAUAAGCUAAAACCAAAUAUCGCUGUAUUAAUUUAUCAAAGAUAUUAAUGAUUGACUUAACCUGAAAUUGCGAUCAAAAUCAAUUGGAUGGUCAAACGUUUUAUGAUGAUAAAACUCAUCGAAAGGAUUUUUAUUGGGUUUCGCAAAUUAAUAUCUACAUUUAGUUUUUCACUUCCAUUUACAUAUAAUAGAGAAUAUGAUACUAACUAUAAAACCACGAUACUAGUAUGCUUUCCGGUUUCAUCCAUUAUCUUUCGCGACCAGAAAAUAUUUGAGGAUAUGGUUGGUUACUGUCCUAUUAAAUGAUUGGCUUAUUCAUAGUCAUGUGUAAAUACAAUCAAAAUUAGGAGGGAAACAAUUGUUCAAAAUGUUAAAGGAUGGUUUGCAGGGCAUUUUGCAAUCUUUGAUAAGAGAGGUGAUUGGGCUUCUGUGACACACAUGGUACCUCAGCUGACAGACGAUUGGUCAACCUUGGGAAUUCUCAGAAAGAAAGAUGAUUUGGGCAUAUGCAACACAUGUGGCGCAUCAGCUGACAGAUAAUUGGUUAACCGUGGGACUUCUCAGGAAAUAGCAAUCCACUGUGUAGACGUCGUGACAUUUCCUUUCCUUUUUUAUCAUGUAAAUUUUAAGCAUAGUUUGAAUCAUUGCGCUACAUGCAAUUACGUGUAAUUUCAAUUCAGGAUGUGAUAAUAAUUAUCAUAUGAAUGUUUUCAUUUUUGUAAUGCAUUUUUAUCAAUUUUAUGAAGAAAAAAUACAAAUAAAAGACAAUCAAAAA